rnacentral:tRNA from 2 species
CAGAACGUAGCUUAAACAGAAUAGCAUCUCCCUUACACCGAGAAUAUGCCCGUGCAAGUCGGGUCGUACUGA